UACGUAGGGAGCAAGCGUUGUUCGGAUUUACUGGGCGUAAAGGGCGCGUAGGCGGCAAUUCAAGUCAGUUGUGAAAUCUCCGAGCUUAACUCGGAACGGUCAACUGAUACUGCUUUGCUAGAGUACAGAAGGGGCAAUCGGAAUUCUUGGUGUAGCGGUGAAAUGCGUAGAUAUCAAGAGGAACACCUGAGGUGAAGACGGGUUGCUGGGCUGAUACUGACGCUGAGGCGCGAAAGCUAGGGUAGCAAACGGG
rnacentral:rRNA from 1 species